GUUAAGCGAACAAGCGUACACGGUGGAUGCCCUGGCAGUCAGAGGCGAUGAAGGACGUGCUAAUCUGCGAAAAGCGCCGGUAAGGUGAUAUGAACCGUUAUAACCGGCGAUGUCCGAAUGGGGAAACCCGGUGCACUUCGGUGCAUCAUCGUUAGCUGAAUACAUAGGCUAACGAGGCGAACCGGGGGAACUGAAACAUCUAAGUACCCCGAGGAAAAGAAAUCAACCGAGAUUCCCCCAGUAGCGGCGAGCGAACGGGGAACAGCCCAGAGCCUGAAUCAGCUUGUGUGUCAGUGGAACGGUCUGGAAAGGCCGGCGAUACAGGGUGACAGCCCCGUACACGAAGGCACACAGGCUGUGAGCUCGAUGAGUAGGGCGGGACACGUGAUAUCCUGUCUGAAGAUGGGGGGACCAUCCUCCAAGGCUAAAUACUCCUGACUGACCGAUAGUGAACCAGUACCGUGAGGGAAAGGCGAAAAGAACCCCGGCGAGGGGAGUGAAACAGAACCUGAAACCGUGUACGUACAAGCAGUGGGAGCCUUCGUAAGAGGGUGACUGCGUACCUUUUGUAUAAUGGGUCAGCGACUUAUAUUCUGUAGCAAGGUUAACCGUAUAGGGGAGCCGAAGGGAAACCGAGUCUUAACCGGGCGUUAAGUUGCAGGGUAUAGACCCGAAACCCGGUGAUCUAGCCAUGGGCAGGUUGAAGGUUGGGUAACACUAACUGGAGGACCGAACCGACUAAUGUUGAAAAAUUAGCGGAUGACCUGUGGCUGGGGGUGAAAGGCCAAUCAAACCGGGAGAUAGCUGGUUCUCCCCGAAAGCUAUUUAGGUAGCGCCUCGUGAACUCAUCUCCGGGGGUAGAGCACUGUUUCGGCUAGGGGGCCAUCCCGGCUUACCAACCCGAUGCAAACUGCGAAUACCGGAGAAUGUUAUCACGGGAGACACACGGCGGGUGCUAACGUCCGUCGUGAAGAGGGAAACAACCCAGACCGCCAGCUAAGGUCCCAAAGUCAUGGUUAAGUGGGAAACGAUGUGGGAAGGCCCAGACAGCCAGGAUGUUGGCUUAGAAGCAGCCAUCAUUUAAAGAAAGCGUAAUAGCUCACUGGUCGAGUCGGCCUGCGCGGAAGAUGUAACGGGGCUAAACCAUGCACCGAAGCUGCGGCAGCGACACUAUGUGUUGUUGGGUAGGGGAGCGUUCUGUAAGCCUGUGAAGGUGUGCUGUGAGGCAUGCUGGAGGUAUCAGAAGUGCGAAUGCUGACAUAAGUAACGAUAAAGCGGGUGAAAAGCCCGCUCGCCGGAAGACCAAGGGUUCCUGUCCAACGUUAAUCGGGGCAGGGUGAGUCGACCCCUAAGGCGAGGCCGAAAGGCGUAGUCGAUGGGAAACAGGUUAAUAUUCCUGUACUUGGUGUUACUGCGAAGGGGGGACGGAGAAGGCUAUGUCGGCCGGGCGACGGUUGUCCCGGUUUAAGCGUGUAGGCUGACUUUCCAGGCAAAUCCGGAAGGUUAAGGCUGAGGCGUGAUGACGAGGCACCACGGUGCUGAAGUGACAAAUGCCCUGCUUCCAGGAAAAGCCUCUAAGCAUCAGGUAACAUCAAAUCGUACCCCAAACCGACACAGGUGGUCAGGUAGAGAAUACCAAGGCGCUUGAGAGAACUCGGGUGAAGGAACUAGGCAAAAUGGUGCCGUAACUUCGGGAGAAGGCACGCUGACAUGUAGGUGAAGCCCCUGCGGGUGGAGCUGAAGUCAGUCGAAGAUACCAGCUGGCUGCAACUGUUUAUUAAAAACACAGCACUGUGCAAACACGAAAGUGGACGUAUACGGUGUGACGCCUGCCCGGUGCCGGAAGGUUAAUUGAUGGGGUUAUCGCAAGAGAAGCUCCUGAUCGAAGCCCCGGUAAACGGCGGCCGUAACUAUAACGGUCCUAAGGUAGCGAAAUUCCUUGUCGGGUAAGUUCCGACCUGCACGAAUGGCGUAAUGAUGGCCAGGCUGUCUCCACCCGAGACUCAGUGAAAUUGAACUCGCUGUGAAGAUGCAGUGUACCCGCGGCAAGACGGAAAGACCCCGUGAACCUUUACUACAGCUUGACACUGAACAUUGAGCCUUGAUGUGUAGGAUAGGUGGGAGGCUUUGAAGCGUGGACGCCAGUCUGCGUGGAGCCGACCUUGAAAUACCACCCUUUAAUGUUUGAUGUUCUAACCUGGCGCCGUGAUCCGGCGUGGGGACAGUGUCUGGUGGGUAGUUUGACUGGGGCGGUCUCCUCCCAAAGUGUAACGGAGGAGCACGAAGGUCAGCUAAUCCUGGUCGGACAUCAGGAGGUUAGUGCAAUGGCAUAAGCUGGCUUGACUGCGAGAGUGACGGCUCGAGCAGGUGCGAAAGCAGGUCAUAGUGAUCCGGUGGUUCUGUAUGGAAGGGCCAUCGCUCAACGGAUAAAAGGUACUCCGGGGAUAACAGGCUGAUACCGCCCAAGAGUUCAUAUCGACGGCGGUGUUUGGCACCUCGAUGUCGGCUCAUCACAUCCUGGGGCUGAAGUAGGUCCCAAGGGUAUGGCUGUUCGCCAUUUAAAGUGGUACGCGAGCUGGGUUUAGAACGUCGUGAGACAGUUCGGUCCCUAUCUGCCGUGGGCGCUGGAGAAUUGAGGGGGGCUGCUCCCAGUACGAGAGGACCGGAGUGGACGCAUCACUGGUGUUCGGGUUGUCAUGCCAAUGGCACUGCCCGGUAGCUAAAUGCGGAAGAGAUAAGUGCUGAAAGCAUCUAAGCACGAAACUUGCCCCGAGAUGAGUUCUCCCUGAGACUGUAAGUCUCCUGAAGGAACGUUGAAGACGACGACGUUGAUAGGCCGGGUGUGUAAGCGCAGCGAUGCGUUGAGCUAACCGGUACUAAUGAACCGUGAGGCUUAACC
rnacentral:rRNA from 1 species